GAUGAACGCUGGCGGCGUGCCUAAUACAUGCAAGUCGAGCGAACAGACGCGGAGCUUGCUCCUCUGAUGUUAGCGGCGGACGGGUGAGUAACACGUGGAUACCCUACCUAUAAGACUGGGAUAACUUCGGGAAACCGGAGCUAAUACCGUAUAACAUGUUGAACCGCAUGGUUCAACAGUGAAAGACGGUCUUGCUGUCACUUAUAGCUGGCUCCGCGCCGCAUUGGCUAGUUGGUAAGGUAACGGCUUACCAAGGCAACGAUGCGUAGCCGACCGGAGAGGGGGAUCGGCCACACGGGAACUGAGACGCGGUCAUUACGCCUACGGGAGGCAGCAGUAGGGAAUCGUCGGCAGUGGGCGGAAGCCUGACGGAGCAGCGCCGCGUGAGUGAAGAAGGUCUUCGGUUCGGAAAACUCUGUUAUGAGUGAAGAACAAAUGUGUAAGGAACUAUGCACGUCGUGACGGUACCUAAUCAGAAAGCCACGGCUAACUACGUG
rnacentral:rRNA from 1 species